rnacentral:rRNA from 1 species
GACGAACGCUGGCGGCGUGCUUAAUACAUGCAAGUCGAACGCAGUGGGGACGGGUGCGUAACACGUGGGUAACCUCCCAUCAGAGGGGAUAACACUUGGAAACAGGUGCUAAACCGAUACUGUUGGCUGGACCCGCGGUGAAUUAGCUUGGUGGUGGGGUAACGGCCCACCAAGGCCACGAUGCAUAGCCGACCUGAGAGGGGGAUCGGUCAAACUGGGACUGAGACACGGCCCAGACUCCUACGGGAGGCAGCAGUAGGGAAUCUUCGGCAAUGGACGAAAGUCUGACCGAGCAACGCCGCGUGAGUGAAGAAGGUUUUCGGAUCGUAAAACUCUGUUGUUAGAGAAGCGGUAUCUAACCAGAAAGCCACGGCUAACUACGUGCCAGCAGCCGCGGUAAUUC